UUUCCGCCACACGCAACUGGGUGAUGUCUCCCGACCCGAGGCGCACCUGUUCCCUUCCCCACCCGGCUGACGUCGAGCUUCAUCUGACCGCCCUGCCUGACUACCGGCCUCUCAGUGGUGGCGGCGGCACUGCAUAUAUAUCCCUUGCUCAAUGGGGAUGGAGUGUCUUGCCGCCUCUCCGAGCGUAACACUCGCCAGGCACCAAGGGAGUCCUCCUCAACCGCUUCAACACGCUUUUCGGUCACUCUUUAAUAGGCAAACCGGUCCCCGAGGACGCUCCUUCCCCCUCAAUGCGUGCCCCACUCUUUAUUCUCCUUCUCCUCCCGCUGCUCCAGAGUCCAGUUUACCAGCAUGCUACUGGAUCAGAGCUAAACAUGACAAAAGAUGAGCAAAACAUGCCCAAUCUGAACACGUUCAACAUAUCUUCCACUGAUCGGUUAUCAUCAGGAGUUGAGUCUGAAGAGGGUGAAGAUAAUGUGAAGGAAGUGAGAGAAUCUCAGUUCCUUGUGAAUGAUGCCAGAAGAGAGAAACCACCCAUUAAGAAUCCAGCAAAUUUAGAUGGUGGAAAAAAGAACCCUAACAAACCCAAAAGAAAAGGAAACGAGAAGAAAACUAAAAGGAAAAUUAAAACUCCAUGCGAAGGAAAAUAUAAAGGUUUUUGUGUUCAUGGUGAAUGCAGAUACAUUGAACAGUUUCUAAUACCUGUUUGCACAUGCCACCCAGAUUACUUUGGUGAACGUUGCGUGGAACAGUUUUUGAAGACAAAAAGAACCAAAGGUGAAACAAGUGUCUUAAAAAUAGAAGUUGUGGUAGUAUCAAUUUUCUUCGCGAUGAUCAGUUUGGCCAUCAUUAUAAUUGUCAUCGCUGAACAGGUAAGAAAAAAAUGCACUAACUAUAAUGAAAUAGAGGAAAGGAGAAAUCUCAAAAAAGAAAAUGGAAUUUCCAGUAGUAAUGUCUAAAAAAAAAUGAAGGUAGUCCUCGACUUAGAACCACAAGUGAGCCCAAAAUUUCUGUUGCUAAGUGAGACAGUAGUUAAAUAAUAAAAGAAGCUGUUACUGAAGCACAUACUAAUUCAUGGAGGCACCUCUGAAAAAUCCAAAUCAAGAAAUCAAGGCAGCUAACCUGAAACUUUAUUUCCACCAAGCCAGAGGUGUGCUGCAAGGAGGGUGAUCCUUUUUUUUUUUUUUUGGCAAUAGCUAGCAUGCGACUGCCCAUACAGGAAUGAACAGCUUUGGUUUCACAGCAGCAGCCAGCGCUGCUCAGUUGUAGGAGAAUACCGAAUGGCUGCUGCCCCACAUACUUCUUUUUUGCACAUGUUACCUUUGGUAGAGAUGAACUGAUUGAGAGAGUAUGUGAGAAAGCAUGAAUCUGAAAGGCACUUGUGAUUGUAUUCUUUGCUGUGUUCCACACACACCCAUGAAGGUGAAAGGCAGAAAUGGAACUGGCUUUGAGUAAGUCUCUCACGCUGCUUAAAGAGCUCAAUGACUCCUAACCGGGACAAACGGUACAGGGUGUGCCUCGUUUCUCCCACGCCUCCAACCUUGUCAUCUGUAGGAUUCCCGCUUGCUCGAUGAAAAUGUGCCAGGCCAGAAGUGCCAGUGUUGAAUGCAGUUUUGUCUCAUUGGAAAGUACAUAAGCAAUUGGAGCAGCUUCCAAGUUGCUGCUCUGGUUUUAAAACAUGUGUUUGGGGAGAUGCAAUCAGUUUGCAAAAUUAUCAACCAACAGAGUUAUUUGUUGGUGGCUUUGUUUCCUGAGAUUAGUCUAGUCCUUAACAUCUGCAACGUAACUAUUCCAUAGCGUUCAAUUUUCCCUUUAAUGUUUUAAGGUGGGCAAUGACCUAGUAUUUCAGCAAUAAGAAUUGUGAGAUUUGGUUAAUGUAAAGACUUUAUUUUAAACAAAUGCACUGUUGCUGUUGUUGUUGUUUUUUCUCAUGCUUGUUCCCCCUGGCUCUUAUCUAUUACCAUAUCAAUAUAUUAGUAAUUUAACAUGUAACCAGCAUCUGUAUAGCCAACCAGUCUUCUUCUCCCUGCUCCCCUCCAGUUAGCUCUAAAUUAAAUCCUACACCAGUCCAACUACCACAUACAUUUGAUUGAGUGAACUGCAGCUGAUGAAAGCUUAUGCCCAUUAAUGACACCUUUUCCAACUUAGAAAUUCUAUCAGAUUCCAGAUUUCCUAACAAACAAAAGGGCCGGAUAGCUCACGCUGGUAAAGCCUGUUAUUAAGAACACAGAAGCCUGCAAUUACUGCAGGUUCAAGCCCGGCCCAAGGUUGACUCAGCCUUCCAUCCUUUAUAAGGUAGGUAAAAUGAGGACCCAGAUUGUUGGGGGGGCAAUAAGUUGACUUUGUAAAAAUAUACAAAUAGAAUGAGACUAUUGCCUUAUACACUGUAAGCCGCCCUGAGUCUUCGGAGAAGGGCGGGGUAUAAAUGUAAACAAAACAAAAAACAAAAAACAAAACACUAACUAACUAGUGAGAACUGCUUCUCCCCCAUCUUCUCUGGGAUGAACAAGCAUUGCUCUGAGCCAAGCUUUUGCUGAAAUUGAGCAUCUUCAAUCAUAUAAGAGUAAAUAAUGAAACAAUGUGUAUUGUGUGUGUGUGUGUGUGUGUGUGUGUGUGUGUGUGUGUAUACUAUCAACUUCUAGGGAUUUUUCUUUAAAGAGUAUUAAAGAGCAAGAUAAAGCAUCUUGAAUUUAGUUUGCAAUAUUAUUAGCUUCAAUGUUUUCUCUACAGAUAUAAUUUUUUUCCACAAAGAGGCACCUUUAAUUUAACUUAAGUUAUAGUUCUAUGCACGUUUAGGUAAACUAUGAAAUGUAAUUGGACUUAUAUCAGAAUAAUCUACAUAGCCUUAUGUUAGUUGACAGUAGCUUGUAUAUAAAAGAAACAUAGUUUUCAGAUUUUUUUAAUGUAAAUAUGUAAGUAUAGAGUUUUCUAUUUCUGUAAAUGUGAUUCUUAUUUAAUAUAUUCACACAACUCAAUGACUUAUUUAUUUUAUAAUUUUUCUACACAAAUAAAAAACUGAGUUGUAAUUUAUACCGUUACUUGGUCCCAGUGCUCCUUGCAUUUGCACUUUCCCAAAGCAGCACUUCACAUUAACACAAUCUGCACAAUUAUUAAUUUUCAUAUCAGUUUAUCCACCAUAAAUGUGUCACUGUUGUGACUGUUGAUUUGCAGAAGGUGGUAGAGCUGCCUAUCUUACCACCCUAUUUCUCUGCUCUCUUCAGAUUCCAGACAUAGGAAAGAAUAAAUCAGUUUUUAUGUGUAAUAUAAGUACACAUAAAUAUAAGUACACAUAAAUAUAAGGGAGAAGGGGGGAAACUAUACCAUGCCCGGUGAAAUUGUGCAAGUGACAUCACUGAUGUACUUGCAUCAGGUGUGAGAGAACAAGCAUGACCUGUGUAAAAAUGACAUGAUGCACAUAUCAUUAUUUUCAUGUCUUUAUGCUUUGUAACAGAGUCCUCUGUUUAGAUAGUUAGUAUUAUUAAUAAAUGGAAGUCUUUGCUCAAAAGCCAUUGAUGGGAGAAAUAGAAAACCCUAACUACGUUAAGAUUUCGCAAAUAGCCAAAACAUUUCUAUUUCCUUAAAUUUCUCACUAAUUUUGUCAAGAUUUCAAAAAAUACUUUAAAGGAGGAAUUCCAAAUUCUCUGAGUAAAUGUAUUCCUUAAGUUACCAUGGCACUUGGGACUGGGCUAGCCAUCGUUGAGCAAUAUGGUUAGAAAAUGCAACAUCAAGUGAUCAUGUUGCUUACCAACAACAAACCAGUUGUAACCUCAAGGCACGCAAGUCUUUAAAUGGAAAGAACAGGGAAUUCCAGGUAAAGAACACAGCAAUGUCACAAGAUGGGGGAGGCUUCAGGAUGCCUGGUGCAGGCUGAAUAUGAGUUGGGAUGGUGCCAAAACAUGAGCUCGGGGAGGCCAAGGAAAGAGGAUGUGGAGGUGCAUGUGGCAUGUGUGCCGGGAAAAGGGCACAUGGUGUGUUGUGAGCUCAGGGAGGCUGGGGAAAGGAGACGUGGGGUGAGUGAGUGAGUGAAGGAAAGCAGUGGCAUGACACUGAUAGGUGCAAGCAAGUAAAGAAGGUGUGGUUCAUACAAGCAAGGAAGGCCUGUGGGGGGAGAUAUACUGUAGCUGAUCUUUCCUGCCAGCUUCCCCAAUGACUUUGGGCAGUGGUGAAAUCCAAAUUUUUUUACUACUAGUUCUGUAAGCGUGGCUUGGUGCACAUGGUGUGGCUUGGUGGGCGUGGCAGGGGAAGGAUACUGCAAAAUCCCCAUUCCCUCCCCACUCCUGGGGGAAGGAUAUUGCAAAAUCUCCAUUCCCACCCCACUCUGGGGUCAGCCAGAGGUGGCAUUUGCCAGUUCUCGGAACUACUCAAAAUUUCCGCUACCAGUUCUCCAGAACCUGUCAGAACCUGCUGGAUUUCACCCCUGACUUUGGGGGAAGCCAAUGAAGAAGGUUGGCGGCAGCAAUCAUAUGACUUUGGGAUGUUGCAAGGGUAAGCCGUUGUCAAGCACCCAAGUUUGUUCAAAUGACUGCAGGGAUGCUGUAAUGGCCAGAAUUUUGAGGACUGGUCGUAUGUUCUUUCUUUCAAUGCCAUUGUAACUUCAAACAGUCUCUGAAUGAAUGAAAGUAACUUAAGAACUACCUGUAUUGGGAUGACUAUGGCACAAUAAUUUCUGGCAUUGUUUCCUUCCUAAUCUCUGUAAAAACAUUUUUUGUAUAGUUCUUAUGCUAUAUAUAGUUUUAUUAUUAUUAUUAUUAUAUAUUAUAUUAUAUAUAUUAUAUUAUAUAUAAUAUAUAUUAUAUUAUUAUGCUUAUAUAGUUCUUAUAUUAUAUAAUGGAGCUUAUGGAAGAGAGUGUGCACUCAGAAAGCAAAGAGCGACUGGGAACUGCUGGUACUGUGAAGCAUUUAAAAUUUCAGAUGGACAGUAACUAUGGUGAAACUUCCCCAGAGCUAUUAUUCUGAUACUUGUAGUCUUGCUUGGUUGGCUCACCCUGCGUCUCAUCAGAAUGAUACUGUAGUAUGGGGCACCAACCCUUUCUUAAAAGAGCAAGUAGAACAGGAAAAACAGAAUGUGAGCUGCCAAUUACAGUGUGUCAACAACUUUUUCUCAAGAAAGCCACAAAUAGCAUUUCAAAUUAAUAGUUGUCAUCCUCCUUCAGCUUGUUUUGGACACAUCAUGUCAUUGGCUGGAGGUUGUCUCCCUCAUAAAAAGAGUGGCCUUGUUGUGGUAGAAGCCCAUUUAAGGCUGAAAAUCGUAGCUCAUUUGCUUUCCAGAAGUCCAUUAAUUUUAAAAUAAUGGAUUUUCUGAUGCUAAUCUUGGCAGAUUGUCUAAUGAAAUGAAUGUUUCUACUCUUAAUAACAACAGGAUAAUUCUUUCUCCGAUAAUUUCUAAGAAGUGAAUCAGCUGAUCUAAAAUGAGUAGUACUGCAAAGUAUCAUUUUCUUAAUUUUUCAAAGGUAAAUUCCAGAAUUAUUGGAAUUGGAAGAUUAUUGAACUGGUGCCCAGGGAAGCAGAUAGGAUGUAAGGUAGGCAUCACAGAACCAAGAAAAAGGAUAGACGUUGCAAACUAAUUGUAAAAUAUCAAAACACUAAGUUUGAGCUGUUAUUUUUAAAGAUUUUGUUAAAAUAAAGUCACUUAAUUAAACCAUAAGCUAAAAGGCAGUGACUAAAGAUUGCAAUUGUUUAUGUGGAUGUUACUGAAUAGUUUAAAAUGCAACAAUUAAUAUUUACACAUGUAGAGAAACGUAUUCAUUGGCUAUUUCCAAGGCUACAUGUAGAUGUGUAAAAAUACAGUCUAAUAUUGUUACCCAUUCCUUGUAUUUAUCUAUCACAAACAAAGUCAGACUUUGAAAAAGAAUCCUGUGUUUUAAUUGAUCUCCAUUAACUUCAGUCUCUCACUUUGUUGUCUUUCUUCUCUGCUCUAAUAAAGAACCUUAUUUUCAGUG